rnacentral:rRNA from 1 species
GAUGAACGCUAGCGGCAGGCUUAAUACAUGCAAGUCGUACGGGAUCCGAGGUAGCAAUACUUUGGUGAGAGUGGCGCACGGGUGCGUAACACGUAUGCAACCUACCUUUAACCGGGACACAACCUUGAGAAAUUGAGGCUAAUAUCCCAUAACACUGCGAGAUGGCAUCAUUUUGCAGUUAAAACUCCGGUGGUUAUAGAUGGGCAUGCGCGACAUUAGCUAGUUGGUGAGGUAACGGCCCACCAAGGCUACGAUGUCUAGGGGUUCUGAGAGGAUUAUCCCCCCANACUGGUACUGAGACACGGACCAGACUCCUACGGGAGGCAGCAGUAAGGAAUAUUGGUCAAUGGGCGCAAGCCUGAACCAGCCAUGCCGCGUGAAGGAUGACGGCCCUAUGGGUUGUAAACUUCUUUUGUACGGGAAAAACCUCUAGGUCGUGUACCAGAGCUGAUGGUACCGUAAGAAUAAGCAUCGGCUAACUCCGUGCCAGCAGCCGCGGUAA